ACGCCGCGUGAGGGAGGAGGCCUGUGGGUUGUAAACCUCUUUUCUCAGGGAAGAAGAUCUGACGGUACCUGAGGAAUCAGCAUCGGCUAACUCCGUGCCAGCAGCCGCGGUAAGACGGAGGAUGCAAGCGUUAUCCGGAAUUAUUGGGCGUAAAGCGUCCGUAGGUGGUUUUGUAAGUCUGUUGUUAAAGCCCACAGCUCAACUGUGGAUCGGCAAUGGAAACUAUAAGACUUGAGUGUGGUAGGGGUAGAGGGAAUUCCUAGUGUAGCGGUGAAAUGCGUAGAUAUUAGGAAGAACACCAGUGGCGAAGGCGCUCUACUGGGCCAUAACUGACACUGAUGGACGAAA
rnacentral:rRNA from 1 species